AUGGAUGUGGAUCUUUCACCAGCGCCGAGUUCAGUAAAGAUGGGCAAUUUACCAUCAAACCAGGAGCCACUUCAGGCUGAGGCGAAGGACCAGAACGGAGGCCUGAACGGCCACGCGGUGGCCGUCACCGACGCCGGCACGGGCCCGCACGUUGAUAAGCACCUGUUACCCGACGGGUGUGUCCCGCUGAUCUCGGCACCAGAAACAAGCCCCGCCCUGCCAGGUAAGGACCCCGCCCUGGUACAGACCAACGGACACCAGUUGCCGGAGCAGCCGGAGAGCAGCGAGCCACGAGCCCCUCAAGACGCGGCAGCUGCCCCGAAACUGUUGGGAGAAGAGAAAGUCAACCUCUUCGGCAAAAUGUUCAAGAAGAAGCCUGACGCCCCGCCGGUCCCACCUGAGAAGGUGGAGGAUCUGGUGACACCGGCGGACCAGCAAACUAGCCCCAAGCGGGAGGACGCAGCUCCUGAUGUUGGUGCUGAGAAACAGCCUGAGCAACAGAUGAGUAAUGGUGCUGGUCCAGAUCCUGCAGAAGCUCCUGCAGAAGCAGCAGCGAAGCCGCCCCCCGAACAGAAAAAGCGGUUCAGCGGCCUCUUCAAGAAGAAGCCUGAGAGCCCACCUGCAGCAGAGCCUGGCGGACCACCAGGGGGGACUGAGACACCAGCUGCGGCCAAUGAGCAGCCACGUUCCAGUGAGGAGAAAUCCAAGCAUCCCAUCGCAGAUUCCAGUGGAAUGAGACCGUCAGAGAAGCAGGUAAAUGCUGCAGCUGUGGUUACCAAAGACGACCCUGGAUCAGCACCGAAAGAUGGAGAUGAAAAGCCAAAGCGCUUCGGAAAACUUUUCAUGAAGAAGAGUGGAAACACACCUGCAGUGGAGGUGGAGAUCUCGCCUGACCAGACGCCCGCUGUAGAUGUACACCUGCAGGCCAUGCCGGAGGAGACAGUUCCUGAGAAGGAGCCAGAGCUACAAGCAGUUUCUGCAUCGGAGAAGAAACCAUUCAGCAACCUGUUCAAGAAGUCUGAAAGCCCACCUGCAGAAAGCCCACCUGUCCAGACCAAGGCAGUAGUCGAGACACCCAGCCAACUGCCUAAACCAGAAGCUGAUGUUCAGCUGAAGGAUGCGACACUGACACCUGUAGAACCAGAGAAGAAAUCAACGUUUGGAUCGCUGUUCAAGAAGAAACCCAUCAGCCCCAUAGUGGUUGAGGUUGACAAUUUGCAAGUUCAGACUGAGUUGCUUGGGACAAAAGAUCAUCAACCUAGCCCCAAGCGGGAGGACGCAGCUCCUGAUGUUGGUGCUGAGAAACAGCCUGAGCAACAGAUGAGUAAUGGUGCUGGUCCAGAUCCUGCAGAAGCUCCUGCAGAAGCAGCAGCGAAGCCGCCCCCCGAACAGAAAAAGCGGUUCAGCGGCCUCUUCAAGAAGAAGCCUGAGAGCCCACCUGCAGCAGAGCCUGGCGGACCACCAGGGGGGACUGAGACACCAGCUGCGGCCAAUGAGCAGCCACGUUCCAGUGAGGAGAAGCAUCCCAUCGCAGAUUCCAGUGGAAUGAGACCGUCAGAGAAGCAGGUAAAUGCUGCAGCUGUGGUUACCAAAGACGACCCUGGAUCAGCACCGAAAGAUGGAGAUGAAAAGCCAAAGCGCUUCGGAAAACUUUUCAUGAAGAAGAGUGGAAACACACCUGCAGUGGAGGUGGAGAUCUCGCCUGACCAGACGCCCGCUGUAGAUGUACACCUGCAGGCCGAGCCUGGGGACAUAAAGGAGGGAACAGAGCCGCAGCAGGACCCAGACCGGGAGUCUCUGGACCUCGUCCCCGCCGCCGCCCAGCUCGCGCCGCAGCCACAGGAGCAUCCAGUUAUGAACUUCUUCAAAACGCUUGUGAGUCCGACCAGAACCCCUAAAGAGGCAGCAGCAGGUCCUGAUGGUUCCAGAGAGCAGCCCCAGAAGGAGCCGGCGGCAGCCGCGCAGUCGGCCGGACAGGAAGUAGACGCGGCGAAAGCGAAGGUGCCUCCUCCUCCUCCCCCAGAGCCUCCCAAGAUGGCGGAGCCGGCGGCAAGGAAGGAGGACGUGAAGGACACGCCCAAGCAGGCGGAGCCUGCUGCUAAACCCAAGGCUGCGAAAGAGAGCCCCUUCAACAAGAUAUUCCGCCCGAAGCAGUUAGGGGAGGAGCCUGAGGCGCAGGAGGAAGUGCAGGUCGACGCGUCCAAGACGGCGACGCUGGAGGCCGCCGCCAAACCGGAGGCCCCCGCCCUCCCCGCGCCCAGAGAAGAGGAGAAGAAGUCGGAGAAACGGGCCUCGCCCUUCGCCUCCUUCUUCAAACCCAAAGUCCUGCUGGACCAGGUGGCCUCCAGGAUGCAGGCUGUGGGCAUCAGCACUCGCAUCGGCCGCCCCGCCAAGUCGUCCGCAGCGGCCCCAGAGCAGAAAAAAGACACGCCCGUCACCGCUGCUGCCCCACCCCCAGAAGCCCCCCAGGGUGCGAGGGCCAAAGAGGAUCCCAAAAGCGCGCCCCCUGCGACCCCUCCGGUCCCCGACAGCAAGCCGGCGGAGAGCGCAGAGAACGCCUCGCCCAGCACCGCCCGCAGGGAGAAGCGGAACUCCAUCCAGCUGUUCUUCAGGAACCUGGGCCAGAAGCGGCAUUCGGACGCGGGGGUGCAGACGGAAGCCCCGGCUGCGGGCUCCACGGUGGAAAGGGGCAAAUAAACCUUCAUCUGCCCCGCUUCGCCCCUUCUCCCCUUCCCGUCGGCUCCGUGUCGCGGACGUUGGCGUGUCUGAGACGCAUGCGCACACUGGCUCCUGGGCGGGGCCAGAGGCGUGACUCUAGGGGCGUGGCAGACACGAGGCACGACAUUUUUAACGUCUAUUAACGCCUUUAUUCUCACGGCAGUCGGUCCACACAGAUCCUGAAGCAUCCUCUCAACAGUCUCUGCAAUCAUCAUCAUCAUCAUUAUUAUUAUUAUUAUUACUGUUGUUGUUUUUGUCACAUUACAAACUGCUUUUCAUUUCUUUUCAGAUCACUGUGGAUGAUUUAUUUUGUGCUGCUUAAUAAACAAUUAAAUGUAUUAAUCGCUGAUCA
rnacentral:lncRNA from 1 species